rnacentral:rRNA from 1 species
UUAACGAUAAAGGGAGUGAGAGACUCCCUCGCCGAAAGACCUAGGGUUCCUGCUUAAAGUUAAUCUGAGCAGGGUUAGCCGGCCCCUAAGGCGAGGCAGAAAUGCGUAGUCGAUGGGAACCACGUUAAUAUUCGUGGGCCUGGUGGUAGUGACGGAUUGCGUAACUUGUUCAGUCUUAUUGGAUUGAUUGGGCGAGGAAGCGGUUCCAGGAAAUAGCUCCACCGUAUAGACCGUACCCGAAACCGACACAGGUGGUCAGGUAGAGCAUACCAAGGCGCUUGAGAGAACUAUGUUGAAGGAACUCGGCAAAUUGCACGCGUAACUUCGGAAGAAGCGUGACCCCAUUUUACGCAAGUGAAGUGGGGUGGCACAGACCAGGGGGUAGCGACUGUUUAUCAAAAACACAGGGCUCUGCGUAGUAGCAAUACGACGUAUAGGGUCUGACGCCUGCCCGGUGCUGGAAGGUUAAGAGGAGAGGUGCAAGCUUUGAAUCGAAGCCCCAGUAAACGGCGGCCGUAACAAUAACGGUCCUAAGGUAGCGAAAUUCCUUGUCGGGUAAGUUCCGACCUGCACGAAUGGCGUAACGACUUCCCCGCUGUCUCCAACAUAGACUCAGUGAAAUUGAAUUCCCCGUGAAGAUGCGGGGUUCCUGCGGUCAGACGGAAAGACCCCGUGCACCUUUACUAUAGCUUUACACUGGCAUUCGCCAAGGCAUGUGUAGGAUAGGUGGUAGGCUUUGAAGCGAGGGCGCUAGCUCUCGUGGAGCCAUCCUUGAAAUACCACCCUUAUCUUCGUGGAUGUCUAACCGCGGUCCGUCAUCCGGGUCCGGGACAGUGUAUGGUGGGUAGUUUGACUGGGGCGGUCGCCUCCGAAAGAGUAACGGAGGCGCGCGAUGGUGGGCUCAGAACGGUCGGAAAUCGUUCGUCGAGUGCAAUGGCAUAAGCCCGCCUGACUGCGAGACUGACAAGUCGAGCAGAGACGAAAGUCGGUCAUAGUGAUCCGGUGGUCCCGCGUGGAAGGGCCAUCGCUCAACGGAUAAAAGGUACGCCGGGGAUAACAGGCUGAUGACCCCCAAGAGUCCAUAUCGACGGGGUUGUUUGGCACCUCGAUGUCGACUCAUCGCAUCCUGGGGCUGGAGCAGGUCCCAAGGGUAUGGCUGUUCGCCAUUUAAAGCGGUACGUGAGUUGGGUUCAGAACGUCGUGAGACAGUUCGGUCCCUAUCUGCCGUGGGUGUAGGAAUAUUGACAGGAUCUGUCCCUAGUACGAGAGGACCGGGAUGGACGUAUCUCUGGUGGAUCUGUUGUCCUGCCAAGGGCAUAGCAGAGUAGCUACAUACGGAAUGGAUAACCGCUGAAGGUAUCUAAGCGGGAAACCAACCUGAAAACGAGUGUUCCCUGAGAGCCGUGGAAGACGACCACGUUGAUAGGACGGGUGUGGAAGCAUGGCAACAUGUGAAGCUUACCGUUACUAAUAGCUC